rnacentral:rRNA from 1 species
UCCUCCCUCUUUCUUCGUGCUUAACACAUGCAAGUCGAACGGAAAGGCCCUGCUUUUGUGGGGUGCUCGAGUGGCGAACGGGUGAGUAACACGUGAGUAACCUGCCCUUGACUUUGGGAUAACUUCAGGAAACUGGGGCUAAUACCGGAUAGGAGCUCCUGCUGCAUGGUGGGGGUUGGAAAGUUUCGGCGGUUGGGGAUGGACUCGCGGCUUAUCAGCUUGUUGGUGGGGUAGUGGCUUACCAAGGCUUUGACGGGUAGCCGGCCUGAGAGGGUGACCGGCCACAUUGGGACUGAGAUACGGCCCAGACUCCUACGGGAGGCAGCAGUGGGGAAUAUUGCACAAUGGGCGGAAGCCUGAUGCAGCAACGCCGCGUGCGGGAUGACGGCCUUCGGGUUGUAAACCGCUUUCGCCUGUGACGAAGCGUGAGUGACGGUAAUGGGUAAAGAAGCACCGGCUAACUACGUG